GAACCGAAACCUGGCCGUUGGCUGAGCGAGCGCGGGGUGUUUGGGAUGCGGCACGGCGAGGGGGAGCAGGCUUGGCUCGGGCGUAGGGAAUUGGUUUUUUUGUUUUAGCUAUCCAGGUUGUGACUGGUUUACAUAAUUACACGAUUAAGCCAUCAUUGUAGGAAAGGCUUUGCAGGAGAAAAAUGUCUUAACUGGAGGUCUUUGAGACAGAAAAACCCUGCCUCAGCCCUUGGGUCCUGAGAGUCGCGUUUCUUCUCCCCUUCGCUUAAAUAUGUAAACCAGAAUCAUUAUGUUUGGUUCAUGGAACGGAGGAAAAAAAUCCGUGUGCAGGGUCGAGACUGUCGUGGCGGAAGCCGCAGCACCCGGGAGGCAGGUGGGGAGAAAAAACGGGACCUGCUGCCGGGGACCCCUCCCGCUUUCUGGCAGUUUUCUAUUCAGCGUCCUCGGCUGUGAGAAAACAUCCCAGAUGCUGAAACCAAUAGUCUUAGCCCAGAAUCUCAAACGCCGUGGCAAAGAGGGAGUGACGACGGCCUGUGGAAAAACCUGAGGAGUUUUGGGCUUAGCGCCUUCAUGUAGAGGGGACGUGGAGGCGGGGAGGGCGUUCUAGGGUCGGCUGCGUAAUUAUACGAGGCACUGGAAAGUGAUGGGUUAGUGUCCUUGGAGUAGACCCCUGGGUUUUAUUGAACUGAUCUGAAAGGCUGGGCCCUGAGCCACACAGGGGACCUGUCAAACAGCUUCAAGCGGAAGAUGGGGCUCACGGGACUGGACUCUCUCUGCAGCCAGCUGUAAUUAACACAAAAGCAGAAGAGUUUGGGUAGAUUAUAGAAUGCCAGCUUUGAACAUCUUUUGGGGGACAGGGCACUCUGGGAGACCAAGUUCUUAGACACCAUAAAAUCAAAAAUAGACACCUCUUUGUAGAGGAGUCCAGAUGUCUAAAGAGGAAAUAUGUAAUAGGCUGAUGUUUCUUUUGUUUUUUGUUUGUUUGUUUUUUGAAAAGUUAAAAUACUAAGUUUAUAAAGUGAAAAAGUUACAGUAAGCUAAGGUUGACUUAUUGGAAAAAAUGUGCUUAUACUAUGGAAUGAGACCACCACUUCUCCUGUUGUCCCUCCCAGCUUCUUCUCCACCACCUCCCCUUUUCCCUAGUUUAUAAGACAGGAGAAAAGUGAGACAGCAAAAAGUUAGAAAGAAACAGAAGUAAGAUAAAUAGCUAGACGACCUUGGCGCCACCACCCGGCCUUGGUGGUUAAAAUAAUAAUAAUAAUGUUAACCCCUGACCAAAACUACUUGUGUUAUCUGUAAGUUCCAGACAUUGUAUGAGAAAGCGCUGUAAAACUUUUUGUUCUGUUAGCCGAUGCAUGUAGCCCCCAGUCACGUUCCCCACGCUUGCUCCAUCUAUCACAACCGUUUCACAUGGACCCCCCCCUUCAAGUUGUAAGCCCUUAAAAGGGCUAGGAAUUUCUUUUUUGGGGAGCUCGGCUUUUAAGAUGCGAGUCUGCCAACGCUCUCGGCCGAAUAAACUUCUUCCUUCUUUAAUCCAGUGUCAGGAGUUUUGUCUGCGGCUCGUCCUGCUACAAUAUGUAUAUCAAGGGUUUCUUGUUGGUGUCUGACACAGACACAGAACCACUGAUGCCCAAGCCAGUGCUCUCUACACACAGAAGCCUCCAACCUCAUCUUGAGAAACGGGGCCAUGAGGCCACCCCAGACACCGAGGGCUCCAUGGAGGCUGGGGGGUCCGUGGGACUGGGCACAUCCCAGCGGGUCUUGGAUCCUGGCCUUUCCCCUUCUUGAUGCCAGGACCUACUGAGUGCUCGCAGGUGUGCAAUGCUGGGCUGCGGGUGCUGCUUGUGUGGCAAGAAGCCUCGGGGUGCCUCCCUCCUUCUCACACCUUUCCCAGGAGGCAUGAAACGGGGAUUCAUGAUCAACCCCGGUGGCUGCUCAUGUUGAACUGGUGAAGCUCCCUCCCUGUUGUCUUCUGGGGACAUGGAGGGCAGGGCUGGAUCCCCUCAAAUGAGCUUAAGUGGCACUGCGGACAAGAACGCGC
rnacentral:lncRNA from 1 species